CGUCCUGCCGCGAGUCUGGACGAGAGUCACCGGGAGUGCUGUGGCUUACCGGAAAUCCUCGCCGGUAUAAUAGUCACCUGUCCAAGAAAACAGAACACACCCACACACACCAACAAAAAAGCAGAGGAGAGAAUAGAAAGAAAAGAGCAGGAGUUACCGAAAAAAUUUCCGGCGAGAAGCAAGAAUUCAAAACCUCUAAACAGCAAUAUGGACAACCCAAUUUUUCUUUAUAUCGGGAGAAGAUCAACCCAAUUUUUCUUUCAAAAAACAUGAGAAAUCAAGGGAGAAACAAAACAAAAUUAAGAUAUAAUAACGAUUAAUUUUACAAAAAGAACUCGGAAUUGAACACAUCUACAGAAAAUAGAAGAGAUCUGGAAACCUAAAAUCGAAAUUUGAUUUUCAAAACGGCUAUAGCCGAAUUAAGUAUAGAUGAAGCAGCAGUAACUUUGAUUUAAAAAAAGAACUCUUGCGGUUGCUAUCACUGAGUGAUUGAAUGGAUCGAUGAAAAUUAGGGUAUUUGAGAAACUGUAGAUAGUGGGUUGGAAUUUAAUCACAAAUCAGACAAAUAAAGAAUGCAAAAUUAACUAGUAGUAAACUAGUAGAAUGAAUCUUUGUUAUUAAGGUUAAGAGAUUGUUCAAUUUUACAUGAACAUCUUAUUAUGAGUUUAACUAAGACACAUAGAAAUGGAUUAUAAAGAAAAAGCACGCAACAGAAUAAAGUUACCAAAUUCCGUUAGCGGCAGAGUGAUUAUGAGCAGCUUAAUUAGCGGCAGAGAAGACGAACUUUAGCGAUCUGGUAAACAAAAUCUUUUGAAAAACUGUUGUUCGAUACACCAAGGAAACAACCUCCUGUGGAAAGAACGAAAGAGAAGCGAACGGCGAAGUCGCCGGAGACGUGCGGUGGCGCAAUGGCGAAACCCUAAUUCGACUGUUUGAAGUUAUAAAAGAAAUUGAAGAAACAAAAGAAGAAUUGUAGCAGGGAAAGAAAAGAGGAAGCGUCUUUGCUGUUAAAAUUGCUGUUCUAUUGGGAAAAGAUCAGAUUUUUCCAAGAAGAGGAUUAGACUCCCCCCCACCUUUCCUCCGCUAUCUCGCUUCUAGUAAACCCUAAUUUUUUAUCCAAUUUGUCUUUGUCUCGGAGAUCGCCAAAUCGCCAUAGCCGGCGACCCCCUCUCCACUCUUAAUCUCUCACUUCCUUCUCCUCUUCUCGGCAAUUCUUCGAUAAAACUGUCAAGAAUUUCGCUAAUCUUCGCCGUGCCUUUGAUAUAUGCGGAUCAAUUCACCUAGGUACUCUCUAUUUCUCGCUCCCUUUUGCUUAUGUACGUAUCUCGUAUAUUAGAAUCAAUUGAAUCUGGGUUUUGGACACAGUUUAUGCAUUGAAUAGGAC
rnacentral:lncRNA from 1 species